rnacentral:lncRNA from 1 species
GUUUAUUCAUUUCCGUCCUUGUUAUUAUUUCUAUAUUCAAGUUACUCGCUGUAACCUCAGGCUAUAUAAGGUGUGGUAACUAGAGGAGAUGUAUCGAUCAACUAUUCAGCCAAAUAUUGGUUAUUAUCAAUACAACAAUACCUUUACAUACAUACACCAUUUACACAAGUUCCUCACUGUUCUUGGUGAUUUCAUUCUUUUUCCCAAUUUCUUGUUCUUGAUCCACUUCAAAUCCAUGGCUGAUCCAUCCGGGUAACUAUGAUACGGAUAAUGGUUGCUGCUACAAGGUAUAGCACCAGGGAUAGUAAGUCUAGUACCAGUGUGGUUUUCAGCUUGCAACCACCAUGGCUUCCACCCUUGUUUGUGAGCAUUUACAGAGCGCAGACUAUACCACUUCUGAUUAUUCUCAGCAUGGGUGAUACUAUCAUGACCAUCGGUCAAGCACUGCAGCAAUCAAACUUCUUUGCUCAGAAAAUUGUUGCAUUUGCGCUAUUUGAGCAAGAUAAAGUUUUCUUUGAGAACCUUUGGGAAUGGAGCUUUAGUGGCAUUAUCUCUCAGCAAGUUAAAUGGUGUCCAUUCAUUUUCUUAUACUCGACGGAACCAACUUUAACAUGGGACCCUGGAGUUCUUCGAACCAUUCAUGAGUACAACCGAGCAAUGAAUCUUCUUAUCAUUAACCUGGCUCUGAUACUCGGAUGGCCUUACUUUGAAAAGCAUGAAAAAUCUCAUGCGUUACAUUCAUGGGUUAGUGAUAGUUUCCCUCCCUGGACAUCACUUUUUGGUCACAUCAUGCAGUAUGUGGAGCACAAGAGCAGGGGCAGUUUAUUGAGAGAACUCAAGUACAUUUUUGUUACUGCUACAAGUCCAGGAAAGGAGGAUUAUAACCCUGGAGGCUGUGGUAUCUUCUUAGAAACAAACCCUGCAUUUUCAACCUUGCCGCUAUUUGUAUCACAUAUCUGGGUGUACAAGCAAUUUGACCCAGGAGAACCACCAUUGGCAUUGUUGUUCAACAUGGUGAUGCAAUCCGGGGAAUGCUAUGCUAUAGUGCAACAAAGGAAGUGUCAGAAGCUCAAACAUCUUGAAAUCAUAUGUUGGACAUCUCCAAUUUGGAUCAUAUCAUUUAUGCCUCCCUGAGGCUCAACAUUCUGCUCUCAACUCACUCUAGGGAGCACCACACUUGGGGACAAGUGUGAUUUCAAGAGGGAUGGAAUGUCAUGUACUAGUCAGAGGAGGACUUGCCGUGUCAUGGCAGAUUGAAUGGCCAAGAUAAAAAGGAAACCCAAUGGCAGAAGAUCUACGGCUGUCAACGUUUAUUCAUUUCCGUCCUUGUUAUUAUUUCUAUAUUCAAGUUACUCGCUGUAACCUCAGGCUAUAUAAGGUGUGGUAACUAGAGGAGAUGUAUCGAUCAACUAUUCAGCCAAAUAUUGGUUAUUAUCAAUACAACAAUACCUUUACAUACAUACACCAUAUACACAAGUUCCUCACUGUUCUUGGUGAUUUCAUACUUUUUCCCAAUUUCUUGUUCUUGAUCCACUUCAAAUCCAUGGCUGAUCCAUCCGGGAUCUGACACCACCACCCUUAGCCCGCAUAACCGUCAACUGGAGAAGCUGCUCUUCAGACAUACCCACUGGCAGUUGUAUCAUGGCUAGAGACUACCUCUCCAAAUCAAACUCGAGAACUGCAUCCAGACACCCACCAAGACGCCAGUAAAGGGAAUUCCCAACCAGCAGAGCCGACAUGCCCGUAAAACACACGGCAAAAAUACAUAUCGUGGUAUACGCAUCGAAUGGAAUCACUGCCGAGAUGAGAUUAUCCCAUACGCCGGUAUCUGAGGAGUAAACACAUGCAAGCACUCCCAUAUGUUGUUUGUCGACUUCGACGACCCCUACCAAGAUCACCUGAAAGUGCUGGACCUCGCCG